AGAACGAACGCUGGCGGCAUGCCUAACACAUGCAAGUCGAACGUGAUCCAGACUUCGGUUUGGUGAAAGUGGCAAACGGGUGAGUAACGCGUGGGAACCUGCCCAGAGGUAGGGAAUAACUGCGGGAAACUGCAGCUAAUACCCUAUGUGCCCUAUGGGGCAAAGAUUUAUCGCCUUUGGAUGGGCCCGCGUCGGAUUAGGUAGUUGGUAGGGUAACGGCCUACCAAGCCUACGAUCCGUAGCUGGUCUGAGAGGAUGAUCAGCCACACUGGGACUGAGAUACGGCCCAGACUCCUACGGGAGGCAGCAGUGGGGAUAUUGGACAAUGGGGGCAACCCUGAUCCAGCAAUGCCGCGUGAGUGAUGAAGGCCUUCGGGUUGUAAAGCUCUUUCGGCGGGGAGAUGAUGACGGUACCGCAGAAGAAGCCCCGGCUAACUUCGCGCCAGCAGCCGC
rnacentral:rRNA from 1 species